GCGGAGACCAACCGUUGGUUGUGCCACUCUACAUGGUCUCCACGUACGUACGGAGAGGUCCGUACAUUCCCUACCCCCGAAAUCUCAGCAGCCGCCGUCGCAUUUGAACCGGCAAUUGUUUUUUUUUCGUUUGUUGUCAUUUUCGUUUUUAAUGGCGGCCUGCUGUCAUUUAAAAUGAAUAAAUAUAUUACUUUUAGAAAAGGGCCGACUGCUCGUGAAGAGAACGAUGGAAUUUAUAGAUUCGGCUGGGAAACUUGUCGAGAAAGCUUUUUUGCUUUUUUAGAUAAACUGACACGAGAGUUUGGUACCUUCUCAAACAGGCAUAAUUUCAAUCUAAUUAAUUGUAUCUGAGACUUUUUUACCAGAUUAUUUUACUAACAGGGAGCCCUCUUUUUGCCGUAGCAAAACUGUUCGCAACUGGUCUUGUAAAUCUGAACAGGGUAGAAGUUCUUUGGCGUCCUGUAACAAAUCACCUGCUGGAAGUCAUCAUCCACCCGCUUAACCACUUGAGAGAAUGGGGAAUAGAUGUCAUCACUACGUUAGUUAGAUCAGCAAUUCAAUAUGAAUAUUCUACCCCUUUAAAAGAAAACCAGAGAUUGCAGACGUUGUUAAUAUCGCCAUAAAAUGAGCUGUCUAGAACCAGUUUUGCAGACGUGUGGCAAAAGCAAGGUGAUUGUGGGCUCCAUUUGCUGUACAGCUCUGGUGACAUAAUCUCUUUUGGAUGGCCCUUGUUUCUUAAUAUCAUAGGAGCUAUCAACAAUUCUCAAGAGUAACAAUGAACAUGGCAUUCUUUGUCGUUGAGGCUAAUUUCUUAUUUUGCAUUGCUUGGAUUUUUCUUUAAAAUAACUGAAACAAUUUGUAUAGUUUAAUGUGUGUUGUGGACAAUAAAUGAUGCACUUUCAUUUCCAUAAA